rnacentral:rRNA from 1 species
AUGAGUACUCACGGUUGCUUUGCUCCUUCUUUCCCCCUUUCUAUACCCGAUUGCUGCGACCAGACGUUGGAGCCCAGGAGCCAGACGCCACCGUUGAUGACGACUACUACUACUCGGGAGAUGCCUACUACUACGUGCAGCCCGCUGACGACGACCAAGAGUAGUUUAGGAGGAUCCCAGGCAAGAGGCCUGCGCCUCUUUCGAUCUGUAUCCCAGUUUGUGCUAGCCUUCUUAAGGCAAACUUGUUUAACUUAUGUCUGUACUCAGAUAUGGUUGCUUCCGCUAACUCUUGUGCCUUCGAGCAUUUGUAUUCGAGCCUUCGAGGCCCCUGGCUUGUAA